rnacentral:rRNA from 1 species
CGGGCUCAACCUGGGAACUGCGUUCUGAACUGGCAGGCUAGAGUAUGUCAGAGGGGGGUAGAAUUCCACGUGUAGCAGUGAAAUGCGUAGAGAUGUGGAGGAAUACCGAUGGCGAAGGCAGCCCCCUGGGAUAAUACUGACGUUCAUGCUCGAAAGCGUGGGUAGCAAACAGGAUUAGAUACCCUGGUAGUCCACGCCCUAAACGAUGUCAAUUAGCUGUUGGGGCACUUGAUGCCUUAGUAGCGUAGCUAACGCGUGAAAUUGACCGCCUGGGGAGUACGGUCGCAAGAUUAAAACUCAAAGGAAUUGACGGGGACCCGCACAAGCGGUGGAUGAUGUGGAUUAAUUCGAUGCAACGCGAAGAACCUUACCUGGUCUUGACAUGUACGGAAUCCUCCAGAGACGGAGGAGUGCCUUCGGGAGCCGUAACACAGGUGCUGCAUGGCUGUCGUCAGCUCGUGUCGUGAGAUGUUGGGUUAAGUCCCGCAACGAGCGCAACCCUUGUCAUUAGUUGCCAUCAUUUAGUUGGGCACUCUAAUGAGACUGCCGGUGACAAACCGGAGGAAGGUGGGGAUGACGUCAAGUCCUCAUGGCCCUUAUGACCAGGGCUUCACACGUCAUACAAUGGUCGGUACAGAGGGUAGCCAAGCCGCGAGGUGGAGCCAAUCCCAAAAAACCGAUCGUAGUCCGGAUUGCACUCUGCAACUCGAGUGCAUGAAGUCGGAAUCGCUAGUAAUCGCAGGUCAGCAUACUGCGGUGAAUACGUUCCCGGGUCUUGUACACACCGCCCGUCACAGCAUGGGAGUGGGGGAUACCAGAAGUAGGUAGGGUAACCGCAAGGAGCCCGCUA